rnacentral:rRNA from 1 species
AGAGUUUGAUCCUGGCUCAGGACGAACGCUGGCGGCACGCUUAACACAUGCAAGUCGAACGAGAGAAGAGGAGCUUGCUUUUCUGAUCUAGUGGCGGACGGGUGAGUAACACGUGAGCAAUCUGCCUUUCAGAGGGGGAUACCGAUUGGAAACGAUCGUUAAUACCGCAUAACAUAAUUGAACCGCAUGAUUUGAUUAUCAAAGAUUUAUCGCUGAAAGAUGAGCUCGCGUCUGAUUAGCUAGUUGGUAAGGUAACGGCUUACCAAGGCGACGAUCAGUAGCCGGACUGAGAGGUUGAUCGGCCACAUUGGGACUGAGACACGGCCCAGACUCCUACGGGAGGCAGCAGUGGGGAAUAUUGCACAAUGGAGGAAACUCUGAUGCAGCGAUGCCGCGUGAGGGAAGAAGGUUUUAGGAUUGUAAACCUCUGUCUUCAGGGACGAAAAAAGACGGUACCUGAGGAGGAAGCUCCGGCUAACUACGUGCCAGCAGCCGCGGUAAUACGUAGGGAGCGAGCGUUGUCCGGAAUUACUGGGUGUAAAGGGAGCGUAGGCGGGAUCGCAAGUCAGAUGUGAAAACUAUGGGCUUAACCCAUAAACUGCAUUUGAAACUGUGGUUCUUGAGUGAAGUAGAGGUAAGCGGAAUUCCUAGUGUAGCGGUGAAAUGCGUAGAUAUUAGGAGGAACAUCAGUGGCGAAGGCGGCUUACUGGGCUUUAACUGACGCUGAGGCUCGAAAGCGUGGGGAGCAAACAGGAUUAGAUACCCUGGUAGUCCACGCCGUAAACGAUGAUUACUAGGUGUGGGGGGACUGACCCCUUCCGUGCCGCAGCAAACGCAAUAAGUAAUCCACCUGGGGAGUACGACCGCAAGGUUGAAACUCAAAGGAAUUGACGGGGGCCCGCACAAGCAGUGGAGUAUGUGGAUUAAUUCGAAGCAACGCGAAGAACCUUACCAGGUCUUGACAUCGUAUGCAUAGCUCAGAGAUGAGUGAAAUCUCUUCGGAGACAUAUAGACAGGUGGUGCAUGGUUGUCGUCAGCUCGUGUCGUGAGAUGUUGGGUUAAGUCCCGCAACGAGCGCAACCCUUACUGUUAGUUGCUACGCAAGAGCACUCUAGCAGGACUGCCGUUGACAAAACGGAGGAAGGUGGGGAUGACGUCAAAUCAUCAUGCCCCUUAUGACCUGGGCCUCACACGUACUGCAAUGGCUGUCAACAGAGGGAAGCAAAGCCGCGAGGUGGAGCGAACCCCUAAAAGCAGUCUUAGUUCGGAUUGUAGGCUGCAACCCGCCUACAUGAAGUCGGAAUUGCUAGUAAUCGCAGAUCAGCAUGCUGCGGUGAAUACGUUCCCGGGCCUUGUACACACCGCCCGUCACGCCAUGGGAGUCGGUAACACCCGAAGCCUGUGGUCUAACCGCAAGGAGGACGCAGUCGAAGGUGGGAUUGAUGACUGGGGUGAAGUCGUAACAAGGUA